AAAAUAUUGAACGUAAAAUUAUAAAGCUAAAAUUUAAAUAUAUUUUUUUAAAUUGUUGUUUUCUUAAGUGGAAAUAUCUUUGCAAUGUAUUUAAAAACUAUACUAAUCUUUUGUUCAUUAUGUUUCUUUACCGACACAAUGAGCGAAGGACUUGAUUCACUACAAAUACAAACUUUCCAAUUAUUAACACGAAAUUUUAAUGACAAAGAAACAAUAGAAAAAGUUUUUAAGUAUUUUAAUAUCGAUAAAAAGUAUGAAUAUAACUCUGAAGAUAGUACAUACGUAAGAGCUUCCAAGAUGCUAAAUUUUGUGGCUGAAGUUAACAAGUUAGACACGAACGCUAUAUUUGGAAGACUGGAUACAAGUAUAGUUGAAGAUAUCUCAAAUAAGUUCAGUGAACUUGACUCGAACAAUGAUGGUAUUAUACAUGGUAGUGAUUAUUAAAAUGAUUAAAGAAUACGAACACUUAGUUCAUAACAAUACACAGAUUGAUGCUUGGAAGAAAAAAGUUAACUCUGACUAUCUUUACGAGUUAGGCGAUGUACUGCUCGAAUUAUUACGAUUCAGGUCAAAGUAUUAUGGUAAUUUUUUUUUCAAAAUUGAUUGGAUAUGCAUUAACAUGUUUAUUGAAAAUAUCAAAAAAGGUUAUAGUCCAAAGGAGAUAUACGUACAAGAUAUGAUGAAGGUUAUUCAUUAUCAUUUUAGAACUUUUGAUGACUUUCCUUUUUUUUCGUACCCUCAUUACGAUUAAUAAACUAUUUCAUCUGUUUCUUAGUAUAUGUUUAAAAUAAUCCACUAAUGUUGUUAUAUUUUUUAAUGUACAUUACAAUUUACAUGUCAUGUAAUCAAAAUUUAAUUUUAAGUGUAAAAUAAAAUUCUAGAAAUAUA